rnacentral:SRP_RNA from 2 species
GCCAGGUGUGGUGGUGCACACCUGUAGUCUCACCUACUUGGGAGGCUGAGGCAGGAGAAUCGCUUGAACCCAGGAGGCUGAGGUUGUGAUGAGCCAAAAAUCACACCAUUGCACUCCAGCCUGGGUGACAAAGCAAGACUCUGCCUCAA